rnacentral:misc_RNA from 1 species
AGGAAGGAUACUAACAGACCAUGCGGGAACUGUGUAUUUAGUUCCAUGAAGAUCAAUGGUAGCAUCUGAAGUGCUAUUUGCAUUUCCCAAAAAGCAGCUUGAUACUUUCUCAGUUGCAUAAAUAGUUGCCGUGACAGAGUUGUGAUAGUCAAUUGUGGUAAUGUUGCCAUGAGUAAGAGUUUCUUCUAUGGAAUGCAAGACUUCAUGAAGCUGCUUCAAAUGUCCCCAUUUUGGUUGAUUCAAA